UAAAAACCCCGACUUCGGAAGGGGUGUAUUUAUUAGAUACAAAACCAAUGCCCUUCGGGGCUCUUUGGUGAUUCAUGAUAACUAUACGAAUCGCACGGCCUUGCGCCGGCGAUGGUUCAUUCAAAUUUCUUCCCUAUCAACUUUCGAUGUUUGGGUAUUGGCCAAACAUGGUUGCAACGGGUAACGGAGGGUUAGGGCUCGACCCCGGAGAAGGAGCCUGAGAAACGGCUACUACAUCCAAGGAAGGCAGCAGGCGCGCAAAUUACCCAAUCCCGACUCGGGGAGGUAGUGACAAUAAAUACUGAUACAGGGCCCUUUCGGGCCUUGUAAUUGGAAUGAGUACAAUUUAAAUCCCUUAACGAGGAACAAUUGGAGGGCAAGUCUGGUGCCAGCAGCCGCGGUAAUUCCAGCUCCAAUAGCGUAUAUUAAAGUUGUUGUGGUUAAAAAGCUCGUAGUUGAACCUUGGGCCUGGCUGGCCGGUCCGCCUCACCGCGUGCACUGGUCCGGCCGGGCCUUUCCCUCUGUGGAACCCCAUACCCUUCACUGGGCGUGGCGAGGGAAACAGGACAUUUACUU
rnacentral:rRNA from 1 species